rnacentral:misc_RNA from 1 species
GAGAAGAACGUAGCGAAAUGCGAUACGUAAUGUGAAUUGCAGAAUUCAGUGAAUCAUCGAAUCUUUGAACGCAUAUUGCGCUCUCUGGUAUUCCGGAGAGCAUGCUUGUUUGAGUAUCAGUAAACACCUCAACUCCCUUUUCUUUUUUGAAAUUGGAGCUGGACUUGAGUGAUCCCAACGCUUUCUUCCAAGAAAGUGGCGGGUUGCUUGAAAUGCAGGUGCAGCUGAACUUUUCUCUGAGCUAUAAGCAUAUCUAUUUAGUCUGCCUAAAAAACAGAUUAUUACCUUUGCUGCAGCUAACAUAAAGGAGACUAGUUCUUGUGCUGACUGAUGCAGGAUUCACAGAGACAGCUUCGGCUGACUUUGUAAACUCGAUCUCAAAUCAAGUAAGACUACCCGCUGAACUUAAGCAUAUCAAUAAGCGGAGGA